GACGAACGCUGGCGGCGUGCUUAACACAUGCAAGUCGAACGGAAAGGCCUGCUUUCCCUUGUGGAUUGCGGGUACUCGAGUGGCGAACGGGUGAGUAACACGUGAGUGAUCUGCCCCCAACUUGGGUAUAAGCCUGGGAAACUGGGUCUAAUUCCCGAUAGGACUGCAGGGUGGUGCCUGUGGUGGAAAACGAUUUGCUAGUGGUUGGGGAUGAGCUCGCGGCCUAUCAGCUUGUUGGUGGGGUAAUGGCCUACCAAGGCGGCGACGGGUAGCCGGCCUGAGAGGGUGGACGGCCACAUUGGGACUGAGAUACGGCCCAGACUCCUACGGGAGGCAGCAGUGGGGAAUAGUGCACAAUGGGCGGAAGCCUGAUGCAGCGACGCCGCGUGGGGGAUGACGGCCUUCGGGUUGUAAACUCCUUUCGACCGCGAGGAAGCCACCUGGUUGGAAGGGUGGUGACGGUAGUGGUAGAAGAAGCACCGGCUAACUACGUG
rnacentral:rRNA from 1 species